rnacentral:rRNA from 1 species
CAGUAGCCGCGGUAAUACCGAGGAUGCAAGCGUUAUCCGGAAUGAUUGGGCGUAGAGCGUGCGCAGGCGGUUGUGUAAGACAGGUGUGAAAUCCCCGGGCUUAACCUGGGAACUGCGCUUGUGACUGCACAGUUAGAGUAUGGCAGAGGGGGGUGGAAUUCCACGUGUAGCAGUGAAAUGCGUAGAGAUGUGGAGGAACACCGAUGGCGAAGGCAGCCCCCUGGGCCAAUACUGACGCUCAUGCACGAAAGCGUGGGGAGCAUACAGGAUUAGAUACCCUGUAGUCCCUGUCUCUUAUACA